CUUACAUGUAUCACUCCGCUUUGCAGGUGUUCUAACAACCGUUAAUUAGCGAUACAUUAACGGCCGCUAUCUAUCUUAGAUUGUAACAAACUUUGCACCCCAAAGAUAAAUACAUUUCCAGAAAUAACAUUUGAAUUUGAAUUAAAUUAUGUAUGGUCGUCAAAAGAGGAUAAAGGGAAGAAGCCUGAAUACUUCAGCGAACCCCUGAGUUUCUACCUGGAGCAAUGUUCCACCCUCAGCACCAUCUGAUUGGUUUACGUCACGAGUAAUAGCCAAUGAUGCUGAAGGCUGCUGUGUACACAGACGGACACAGACGAGGGUUCCGGCUAACAAGUUGAGCUGUGUGUCAAAGUUCAGAUGCAGGGAGGUGCUACCCUAACACACUGGUGCCUGUUUGGACCCUGGUACUCCUGAGCCUCAGCACUGAUGCCUGACCUGAAUUAGUGCUGUGAAGUCAACCAUAGAAAUGACUCAGUGGCACUCCAUGCUGGAAGAGGAGGAGUAGGAGGAGUGAGAGUGAGAAAGAGGUCUCACUGCCCACAUCAGGUGUCAUAGGGAAAAGACUGAGGGAGAUGCUGAACGUGUUAGUACAUCCAGAGUUGUCGAUGUCAAGCGUACAGCUUUAAAUAACUUAAGUGGCACCUGCUUGGCAAUUGUACGUGCAAUGUGGGGUUUUAUGUAAUUUAGUGAACUGAUUCACAUUGUCAACAUUGUACAAUUGUGAUUGUACACUGACUGUAUAGUUUCUGGAUUUAAUGCAAAUUUAAUUUAUACCAAAAUACAUGUAACAGCAUGUGGGAGGUGUUUGUACCUGUGAAAGUGCACAUUCCAACUCAUACCCAUAAAUUACAUGAAAUGUGCUCAGGCACGCUACCGUCUCUCAUCGAAAAGACCUACAGCUCUCCCUAUCUGAUGUUCUAUGUCUCUGCCUCUCUAUCAAGUAAUCAGUUGAUGUGGGCUUGAGGCUAUUAUGAAAAAUAACCUCACCAGUCAACAGUUACACACUGCUCUGAGCCUAUGGUUUACCAGGGAGGUGAAAAUACCCGAGUACUGCAGUCCAAAACCCCAGCUCAAAUUACUGUUGUUACAUCAAACAUCUCCUUUGGUCACGAUAAUAAUAACCACAGCUCUCGGGGAAAACAAGGCCUGUGACACUCGAGAGUGCAUGGAAACAGGGGUACAGAGACCUGAAAUAUAACUCCCCUGAAAAACUCAUAGCUCAUGGUUGACCAUUUUAAUCUCCCCCCUCAUUCAUCAGAUCCCCCACUAUGUGGAGCUGCUGCCAGGGACCCUCAUCUGCCCACCCCACACAGUACCACAGACCCUGGGAAGCAGCCAGACCUGCAAUGAAGGAGGGUCACUUGAGGGUCAAAGCAGAAGCAACCAUGUUAGUUUUGUACAUGCAUGCAUAAAUAUAAAAAGUACUCAUCUGCAGGUGAUGCAGUAGCAGGGCAGGAAGUAGUUGGUUCUUUUAAAAACAAACACACUGAUUUCGAGAUGCAGUUUCUGUCUUUUAAUAACAAAAAAAUUGACAAUAUAAAAAAGUAUGUGAUGACAACCAUAAUAAAAUACUUAAACUGCUAUGGCAACAAAAACA